AAAUUUUAAGCUUUUUCUUCCUUUAAAUUAGCUUAACUAAUUUUCAUGAGUGUUAUCCAAGUUUUUCAAAGUUGGGGAGCUUGGAGAAUUCUUCUUGAGCCAAAGAGUUUGGAUUGACUUAUCAGGUAAGUCGUGACAUUUUUUUUUCUUCUUUUACUUUCCCUAUUAUCUUAUUUUUGCAUGCCAUAUAGGUGGGUGU
rnacentral:lncRNA from 1 species